rnacentral:rRNA from 1 species
GACAGAGGGUGCAAACGUUGCUCGGAAUUACUGGGCGUAAAGCGCGUGUAGGCGGGCCGAUAAGUCAGACGUGAAAUCCCUGAGCUCAACUCAGGAACUGCAUCUGAAACUGCCGGUCUAGAGUGGUGGAGAGGGAAGCGGAAUUCCUGGUGUAGAGGUGAAAUUCGUAGAUAUCAGGAGGAACACCGGUGGCGAAGGCGACUUCCUGGACACCAACUGACGCUGAGACGCGAAAGCGUGGGGAGCGAACAGG